CCUGUAACGCGUGUCCUCACAGUGGCAUUUUGCAUCCGCGCAAGGGAGGAUUUACUCGUGGGAGCAAAGAAGGACCAAGCAAGGAGGAUUUUGGAGCCACACCAGCAAGAUGUGCAGAAAGAGGCUAGAUGAUUGGAAAUUGGGAUCUCUCCCCCUUGGUUGGAGGGUUACAGUGUUAAAUGCUUGUAUGUCAAGUAUCCCGGUAUACCACUUGCCCAUGUACGGGUUACCAGUAUGCAUCGUUGAAAACUUACAUAGAAACUAUUUAGUAUCAUUUUUCGUAGCAAGUAUGGAGUAGCAAAAAGUUAUAGACAUCUGAUCUGUAAAACAAAAUAGAAAAGUGUUUGGGAGUAUAUGAAUCAUAUCACUUUAGUA